rnacentral:rRNA from 1 species
GCGGUACGCUUAACACAUGCAAGUCGAACGAGAUUUUGGACUUCGGUUCAGAGUUUAGUGGCAAACGGGUGAGUAAUGCAUAGGAAUCUGCCCUUUAGUGUGGAAUAGCUCGAAGAAAUUCGAAUUAAUACCGCAUAAUGCCGAGAGGUGAAAGCAGUAAUGUGCUAAAGGAUGAGCCUGUGUCCGAUUAGCUAGUUGGUGGGGUAAAUGCUUACCAAGGCUACGAUCGGUAGCUGGUCUGAGAGGAUGAUCAGCCACAGUGGAACUGCGACACGGUCCACACUCCUACGGGAGGCAGCAGUGAGGAAUUUUCCGCAAUGGACGAAAGUCUGACGGAGCGAUACCGCGUGUAGGAAGAAGGCUCUAGGGUUGUAAACUACUGUCGUCGGGGAAGAAAGAAAUGACGGUACCCGAAAAGGAAGCACCGGCUAACUCUGUGCCAGCAGCCGCGGUAAUAC